rnacentral:rRNA from 1 species
UACGGGGGGGUGCGAGCGUUUGUCCCGGGAAUCACUGGGCGUAAAGGGGCGCGUAGGGUGGCCCUGAUAAGGGGUGUGGGUGAAAGUCCGGGGGCUUAACCCCCGGGAUCUGCCCGUGCCCGACUCGUGGGGGCUGGGAGCACUGUAGAGGGCGGGGUGGGAAUUCCCCGGGUGGUAGCAGUGAAAUGCGGUAGAUAGUCGGGGGAAAGAAACACCCCCGUGGGGC